rnacentral:rRNA from 1 species
GGUCUGAAGAUUAACUUCCUUAAAAGCGAGUUGUUCUGUUUUGGUAGAGCCAAAGAGGAACAAGAUGCAUAUAAGCAAUUGUUUGGUUGUGAAUUGGGAGCACUCCCGUUCACUUACCUAGGUAUCCCCAUUCAUCAUCGUAAGCUGACAAACAGUGAAUGGAAGUGUAUCGAGGAUCGGUUUGAGAAGAAACUGAGUUGCUGGAAGGGCAAACUCAUGUCGUAUGGAGGCCGGUUGAUUCUUAUUAACUCGGUGCUCACGGGUCUGCCUAUGUUCCUUUUGUCCUUUUUUGAAGUACCAGUUGGAGUUAGGAAAAGGCUGGACUUCUAUCGGCCACGUUUCUUCUGGCAAAGUGAUGAACUUAAGAGAAAGUACUGUUUAGCCAAAUGGGACGUCAUCUGCCGACCGAAAGACCAAUGGGGUCUUGGUAUUGAAAAUCUUGAGAUCAAGAACAGAUGUCUUCUCAGCAAGUGGCUAUAUAAGUUAGCAGCUGAGACUGAAGCUACUUGG